GAUGAACGCUAGCUACAGGCUUAACACAUGCAAGUCGAGGGGCAGCAUGACCUAGCAAUAGGUUGAUGGCGACCGGCGCACGGGUGAGUAACACGUAUCCAACCUGCCGAUUAUUCCGGGAUAGCCUUUCGAAAGAAAGAUUAAUACUGGAUAGCAUAACGAGAAGGCAUCUUCUUGUUAUUAAAGAAUUUCGAUAAUCGAUGGGGAUGCGUUCCAUUAGUUUGUUGGCGGGGUAACGGCCCACCAAGACAUCGAUGGAUAGGGGUUCUGAGAGGAAGGUCCCCUACAUUGGAGCUGAGACACGGUCCAAACUCCUACGGGAGGCAGGAGUAAGGAAUAUUAGGCACUGGACGAGGGUCUGAACCAGCCAAGUAGCGUAAAGGAUGACUGCGCUAUGGGUUGUAAACUACUUUGAUAGGGGAAUAGAGUGGGCCACGUGUGGCUUUUUGUAUGUACCAUACGAAUAAGGAUCGGCUAACUCCGUG
rnacentral:rRNA from 1 species